rnacentral:rRNA from 1 species
GGGUCCCUGCGCGCAGCCUGAUGCAGCCAUGCCGCGUGUGUGAUGAAGGCCUUCGGGUUGUAAAGCUCUUUCACCGGGGAGGAAGGGGGUAGAGCUAAUACCUUUGCCCCCUGAUAAUUCCGUGCCAGCAGCCGCGGUAAUACUCCGUGCCAGCAGCCGCGGUAAUA